rnacentral:miRNA from 1 species
AAGGUUGUUCUAACAAGUCCGAUACAGUCAUGAUAUAACAAUAUUGUUACGACCUUGUGUCAUCAACCUUGUAACAUUCUUGUUAUGUCAUGACUGUAUCAGACUUGUUAGAACAACCUU